AUUCACCACACAAGCUGAAAUAGGGAGAAGAAAAAAGCGAUUAUGAAAAAACAGUCAAAAUCAAUAACCUUCGCCUCAGCAUCUUCACCGCGCCUCAUCACUUCGCCGUUCUCAGAUGCUAACGUAAUCCUGAUUCACCAUCAUCGCAAGCCAGCACCUCCGUUACGGAUGUGCUCCCUUCACGCCGGCGCUCGUCAACGACACACUCUCCGAUUCACAGAUAAUCGCCUUGCUUGCUCGAAUCACGCAGUUGUAUAAACAAAGAUAGAUGACGUUAAAUCGCGACGUCAAUACAAUCUCCUUCCUCUUGUGUUUCGCGACGGUGAAGUGAUGUUGAUGCUGAUUGAUUGACAAAAGUUCUGAAGAGUUGCUUUUGAAUUGGGAACUUUCAAAAGAGCUUUUGGAAAAGUCUGUGAAAUUUGCCACAAACUGCUGUGUCUUAUUCCAAUUUUUUAAUAAAAUUAUUUCUGAUGUAACAGAGAUCUUUUGGAUUAUGAACUUAGGGAUUGCUUGUAACAUGUACAAACUUUAAUUUGGAAUUUCUCUUUUUGGCCAGUUA